rnacentral:rRNA from 2 species
GAGUUUGAUCUUGGCUCAGAUUGAACGCUAGCGGGAUGCCUUACACAUGCAAGUCGAACGGCAGCGCGGGCUUCGGCCUGGCGGCGAGUGGCGAACGGGUGAGUAAUGCAUCGGAACGUGCCCAGUAGUGGGGGAUAACCACGCGAAAGCGUGGCUAAUACCGCAUACGCCCUUAGGGGGAAAGGGGGGGAUCCUUCGGGACCUCUCGCUAUUGGAGCGGCCGAUGUCGGAUUAGCUAGUUGGUGGGGUAAAGGCCUACCAAGGCGACGAUCCGUAGCUGGUUUGAGAGGACGACCAGCCACACUGGGACUGAGACACGGCCCAGACUCCUACGGAGGCAGCAGUGGGGAAUUUUGGACAAUGGGGGAAACCCUGAUCCAGCCAUCCCGCGUGUGCGAUGAAGGCCUUCGGGUUGUAAAGCACUUUUGGCAGGAAAGAAAUAGGCCUGGCUAAUACCUGGGCUGAAUGACGGUACCUGCAGAAUAAGCACCGGCUAACUACGUGCCAGCAGCCGCGGUAAUACGUAGGGUGCAAGCGUUAAUCGGAAUUACUGGGCGUAAAGCGUGCGCAGGCGGUUCGGAAAGAAAGGUGUGAAAUCCCAGGGCUUAACCUUGGAACUGCACUUUUAACUACCGGGCUAGAGUGUGUCAGAGGGAGGUGGAAUUCCGCGUGUAGCAGUGAAAUGCGUAGAGAUGCGGAGGAACACCGAUGGCGAAGGCAGCCUCCUGGGAUAACACUGACGCUCAUGCACGAAAGCGUGGGGAGCAAACAGGAUUAGAUACCCUGGUAGUCCACGCCCUAAACGAUGUCAACUAGCUGUUGGGGGCUUCGGCCCUUGGUAGCGCAGCUAACGCGUGAAGUUGACCGCCUGGGGAGUACGGUCGCAAGAUUAAAACUCAAACGAAUUGACGG